rnacentral:pre_miRNA from 1 species
GGCUUGUCACUUCCAAUACAUGCUGUGGUCCCACCAUCCCGUCCAUGUAGAGAGAGUGACAGGUUGU